rnacentral:lncRNA from 1 species
CCCCCAGCGCCCCCGGGUCCCAGCCGACGAGCUCUGCUCGUUGACCCGGGUGAAGCCCCCGGGGGCACAGCUCACCUGUUUGUAGGCAUCGAGCAGGAAGCUCUUCCAGACGCAGCGCAGUCCCUCUGAGGUCAGCAUGCGCCUCCACUCUCCGCGAGUGGACUUGGAGCGGCUCAGCAGCAGAACCACGUGCUUGAGCAGAAUGACCGAGUCAUAGAGCGCCAGAAAGAGGCAGUUGGAGAAAAAAACUGGCAGAAUUUGCAGUGUGAUCAGCAAGUCUAUGCUGAGGAUACCCAUCUUCUCUGCCUCCUUAGUCAGUCCCCUUGUGCGCUCUGGUUCCCCUUCACCCUCUUAUUUAAAAGAGGGGUGGUGAUGGGGGGUGGGGGAGGUAAGGAGGAAGGUUGGGGGUGGGGGGGGGAGAAGGAGAAAAACUAAAUUAAAAGGAAGCCCAAGUUGUCUCCUCUUUCAAAGAAGCAGAAAUGGCACGACCAAGUUCAGUCUCCAGCCCAGCAGUUGGAGUGUGCCCAUCAAUUCAUUCAAUUCGGAGCUGCUGCCUUUUUUUUUUUUUUUUUUUUUUUUUGCAGGAUUUAAGAUGUUAAAAAAAAAAAAAGAAAGAAAGAAACUGGCGCACCCGUCCCUAAUCCAGUUACCCCUGUCAGAGUCCGUUAAAGACACGUUGUUCUACUUUCAUUUCCAAGCACCUAUGAGACUGUGGAAGAGACUGCAAAAUUUUCCUUAGCUUUUCAUUGUCUCUAUGUUCUUUAAACGUAGCCUGUUCCUUUCUUGAACUGCUAGAGUUUUAAAAAUGUGUUUUAGUGGUAGUUUUUUUUCUUUCUUUACUCCGUUUUAUACACUCUUUCUGUUCCUUUUCUCCCAGCCUGUCUCACUCUCUCCCUUCUCCUGGAGCGACUGGGUCCUGCGCUCACUCCGUCUGGCUUCUCCUUCCUGCUAUCUGUCUGUGUGCAGAGUGCCUCCCUCUACAGCCCAGGAAGCCAUUGUCCAGUCUUCGUAUCAUCUGUUUCAAC